rnacentral:lncRNA from 1 species
GAUAACAGUUUUCCUCUGGCAUUUCAAGCCCCUCGCAGUCUGGCUCCAGCCUAUCUUUCCAAGCCUAUUCUCCCUCUCACAUAUGUGAUAGUCCCAGUAUGCGACAUUCCACCUCUGUGAUGAAAAUACAUUUUUUAAAAUUACAAACUAUAAAACUCCAGGUACCUGCUGCACCGACGCCAGGCUCAGAAGAAUCAGCUGGACAUCUGUGGCUACCGUCUGCACUGCACCAACGCUGAACGCCCCCGAGCCAUGGAUCCCCCAAAACUGCAGCUGCCCUGCUGGGGGCCCUUGCACCUGUUCUGGCAAUUGCAAAUGCAAAGACUGCAAAUGCACUUCUUGCCAGAAAGGAGGCCGCACUACCUGCUGCCCUGCUCAGUGUCCUAAGUGUUCCAAGGAGUGCACUUGCAAAGGCCAUGACAAAGGCAGCUGCUGCCAUUGAGAGAGCUGCUGGCUUCUUGUAAAUAUAACCAUUGUUUCCUAGAGGCAUGAGUGAUGUACCUUGCCUGCCCUAAAAUGUGUUCAUGUGUUUUCAAAUGACAAUAAACUCAGUGAACAAAAUAAAUUCCUGGUUUGU